rfam:Oryza barthii chromosome 11, whole genome shotgun sequence.
UCUAAGUGCAGUUUUACAUUGUUUGUGUUCAACGUUUAACCGUUCGUCUUAUUUGAAACAUUUUUAUGAUUAGUAUUUUUGUUGUUAUUAAAUGAUAAAACAUUAAUAGUACUCUGUGUGUGACUAGACUAAUUUUUUUUAAAAAAAUUAUAAUUUUUUUAAAUAAGACAGAUGAUCAAAGUUGUACACACAUAUCCACGACUGCACUUAUU